rnacentral:rRNA from 1 species
AAAGGGUGCGCAGNCGGAAUAGUAAGUCAGAGGUGAAAGCCCACAGCUCAACUGUGGAAUUGCCUUUGAUACUGUUAUUCUUGAGUGUAGUUGAAGUAGGCGGAAUAUAGCAUGUANCGGUGAAAUGCAUAGAUAUGCUAUAGAACACCAAUUGCGAAGGCAGCUUGCUAAACUAUAACUGACGCUGAGGCACGAAAGCGUGGGGAGCGAACAGGAUUAGAUACCCUGGUAGUCCACGCCGUAAACUAUGAACACUCGCUGUUGGCAAUACACAGUCAGCGGCUGAGCGAAAGCGUUAAGUGUUCCACCUGGGAAGUACGAUCGCAAGGUUGAAACUCAAAGGAAUUGACGGGGGCCCGCACAAGCGGAGGAGCAUGUGGUUUAAUUCGAUGAUACGCGAAGAACCUUACCUGGGCUUAAAUGUAUAUUGACGUACUGAGAAAUCAGUAUUUCUUCGGACAAUUUACAAGGUGCUGCAUGGUUGUCGUCAGCUCGUGCCGUGAGGUGUCGGGUUAAGUCCCAUAACGAGCGCAACCCCUACUUCUAGUUACCAGCAUUUCGGAUGGGGACUCUAGAGGAACUGCCUACGCAAGUAGAGAGGAAGGUGGGGAUGACGUCAAAUCAGCACGGCCCUUAUGUCCAGGGCUACACACGUGCUACAAUGGCCGGUACAGAGGGCAGCUACAUAGCAAUAUGAUGCUAAUCUCAAAAGCCGGUCUCAGUCCGGAUUGGAGUCUGCAACUCGACUCCAUGAAGCUGGAUUCGCUAGUAAUCGCACAUCAGCAAUGGUGCGGUGAAUACGUUCNCCGGGCCUUGUACACACCGCCCGUCAAGCCAUGGAAGUUGGGGGUACCUGAAGUCGAUUGCCGUAAGGCGUUGCCUAGGGUAAACCAAUGACUGG